GGCUCCAGGCUCUGAACGGUCAGCACAGAGCCCAACGCGGGCUCAAACUCACGGACCACGAGAUCAUGACCUGAGCCAAAGUCGGACGCUUAACCGACUGAGCCACCCAGGUGCCCUGUAAGUCUGUAAGUUAAGUGGAAUUAUCUUUAGAGGAAGUGGAGACCCACAAAGUGAAAUUACUUGUCCAAGGUCAUUUAGUUGCGGUAUGAAGGUUUAUAUUAGAACAGUAAUUUUUUUUCCCACUAUACCAAAAUUCCUUGAGGUCAGAAAUACACGUUGAUAGUUUCGUUAAGUUAUCACAGCGCCUGGAGCAGAGCAGAGGCUUGAUAAUUGAAAGUUUAUGUUGUUCUUUGACAUCAACCAUAUUCAUUAAGGAUACGCCUGGUGUUGAUAAAUGCUUUAUAUUAUCUUUUCGGUGUUCAAAAUAAGCCUGUGAGAUAGAUUUUGGAAACACUUUUAGGGUAGGGAAACCUACAAAGUGAGACUAAAGUUAAUGGUCAGUACGUGGCAGAUACAGAAAUGAAAUCCAGAUUUGUAUAACCCCAGUAUUGUGUGUCAUCCAAAUUUAUGCUACUCUGCUUUUUGGAAGAAGAGCAUUAGGGCCAAGUGUCUGAUUGCUGGAACUGCCCAGAAUCCACGUCCUCAGCGCCCUCAGUGCCCUCAGCAAUCUGCUUGAAGUAGCGUUGCUGUACCUUGCAAAGAGAGACCCUGGAGGCUCAUGGCAGAACCUGGGUUUGCCAUCAUUUUCCGGGCCAUUAUGGGGUUUCUAAGGACUGAAGUCAAAAUUAUUGGAACUUGGUGCUCCUUAUGAACUAUUUUUAUACCUGGAAUGUGUUGGGAGCCAGCUGGCUGUUGCCGUAGCUCAGAUAUCACCUGGUGCUUUUUUCAGAAUGGGGUGAAUAAAUCACAUGAACAGCUAAGCCAGACUGUGUCUGUCUGGGUCUGUAUCUGAUAAGAGGCUCUCAACAAGUGAGCUGUGUUCCACUUGCUACAGAGCUGGCCCUGUAAAAGGCAGUGGACAUGUGGAUAAGAAUCACCAGAUUUCAAAACAGGAAGACCCAUCCAACCCCCUUGCUUUAUAGGUAGAGAUACCGAGACCCAGAGCCUUAGGCUGGUAUAUUGGGUUGCAGGAUGUGUAAAUUAAUUCAACUCAAUGAAGAGUGGUGUAUCAUAAAUAUGGAAGGGUGUUUUAUUAAACCCACUUGUAGGACAGACAAACCAGAUCACAAGAACCGGAAAGUCCUCCCCCUUGUGGCAAACAGAGAGAUGCAGGGCACAGAUCCCCCCCUUCCUUCUAGAAAAAACUUGCCACAUAACCUAGGAGAGUGCCAUCAGCAGGCAGCUUCCAGCUCUCCACUCCUCAGGGGGUCUGCCAUAGCUAUAGAGGUCAGCCUCCUCCAAGGUCAUGCCCUUGCUGCAGUGGCCCGCAUUCCACGACUAAGCUAGGCAGCACAAAAAGGCCCAGUCACUCAGACUGACAAGGCCAACACUGAGUGGUAAACACAGUACCCAUUGUGUUGGCUAAAGCUUGGUUGGACCCCUAUCACAGGUCAUCUUCUCCUCACGUUACUUCCUUUCACAGAUGCUGUUCCUUCAUAAACAUCUUGUACCCCAAACUCUAAGGAUCUCCCUUGGAGAACCCAACCUGCAACACCCUGACUCUCUGGCCAAAUGGUAUUUUCUUCAAUCCCUGGUUUAUCUGCUCUAUUCAACAGCCCCUUUCCCUCUAAAACCAAGUUUGACUUUUCUUCGUGCACAUAACCCAUCAUGGCUGCACCCCAAAUGACUGUUUUAGCACCUGUGGCAGACCAUGUUUUUCAAAUUAACUGCCCAAGUAUUUUCAGUCCUACAUGUCCUUCCAGAAAGUUGCCACUUCCCAUCAAGAGGAAGUCUGUUGGUCCCUCUGAUGCAGCUGGGCAGGACUUUACGACUGCCUUGGUAAAGAGAAUGCAUAUCAUGACUGACAUUGCGUGACCUCUAAGGCUAAGUCAUAAAGGCAAUAUGGCUUCCACCUAGGUUCUCCCUUUAGUCAUGCUUGGUGACUCUUGGAACCUAGUCACCAUGCUGUGAGGGAGCCCAAACUAGCCCACGUGGUGAGACAACAUGGAAAGAAACCAAGGCCUCCAGCUGAUAGCCCCAGGAACAACAGUCAGAGCCAGCCAACUCCACCUUGAAGUCCCAGUUCCAAACUCCUUGCAGAAAUCGAUUGUACCAGGGUGGACACCUGCCUGAGAUUAGGCCAACCAGCUGUGGCCACGUGACCAGAAAGGCAAGUGUUCACAUUUAAAAGGCUUUUCCACUUGGGAUCUUUUCAUCCGUUAAGAAAUUAUCCCACGGCUUGUGUGAGUUAGAGUGUUCACAGUGGUGACUAAGACCUGGUCCAGCUAGCAUGAAGUCUAUGUAGAGGAAUCAGAUAACGAACAAGGAAAAUGUACCACCUUUUCCUAAGGUAGCGUGUCUCAGUACAGACUACCAAGGGAACCUAAUUUGUUGGAGAGUUGGGGUGAGGCCAGUGAGAAAAUGACACCCCCAUCUGCUUUAUCCAAACUGAGUUUCAGCAAGCAUGCAUUGAGCAUCUACUCUGAGUCUCAGGGGCUAUGCCAGAGGAUAUGUAUGUACAGAUGAUCCUGUAUGAGGAAUAUUUGAAUCUCCCACUAAGCCUUGAACACCCCAGGUCCAAAGAGACGCCAAAAUUGCCUGAGUUUGAGCUCAGGCUUGGACCACUGUCUACUCUUCCAACGAUCUCCCCCUGACACCAGGCUGCCUCAUCCAGCAUCCUUCAACAUGGCUCAGAACGAAAGUUUUCACCAGAGUCAGAAUAAUACUUGAAUGCGUGGGCUUUGGAGACAGCCUGCCCGCAUUCUAAUUCUAGUUCUACCCUUUACUAGACACAGCUAGUAAGGGGACAACACGGGACAGGGCCAGCUUCCUGAGCCCCAGUCUCCGGGUCGGUAAAUGUGGACAUUAAGAGUGCUGACCUUGAGAAGUUGUUGUAAGGAUAAAAAGAGUUAAACCAUGCGAUAAGCUUAGACUACUCUCUGACACAUGUAAGUGCUCAGUAUAUGUUAGCUUUUAUGAUCCAGUUGGAGAGACUGGAGGAAGGUUCCUGGAGGAGAAGAGACAUGAGGGUGUGUGGACUUUGAACACCUAGAGUGAGGAAAAGAGAUUUCCCGAUGGAAUUAGCAGUGGGAGCAAAACUAGGGAAAUUAUGGGACAGUAAGCAGUCCUCUCUCGGAGCUUGAAGUAAACUUGUCGACUUGCUUCUGCCUCUCCCAUCAGUGCAUUAGCUUUCCGUGAGAUAAAGAGCUUUGUUCCACCUAAAGCAGUGCCCGGUACGCAGCAGGUGCGCAAUAACAUUGCGGUAGACUAGAUUAAUGCGGUAGACUAGAUUAAUGAAGUGUGUGCUGUGUGGCCUUGGGCAAGCUAGUGCUCCUCUCUGAGACUUAGCGCCCUACCUUCCCAGAAAGGCAUAAUGACGUCCUCUUUUUCAUGGGCUGUUGAGAGGCUUAAAUGAGAUACUCAUGCAAAUCCUGGCCUGGAGUGGGCGUUCAAAACAGCGAAUUCCCUUUCCUCGGUGUCCUAUAUCCAGCAGAAGGUCAAAGUGGAGUGGGAUAGACAAUAAAAAUGUAAAGAGGGAAAUGAAGAGAGGAACUGGGGCGUACUAGGAAAUAUAGGGGCAUCUUCCUGGAGGCAGUGGAUGAAACUGGGCCUCGGAGGAGGGCGCUGAGCUGUGUUUGCGUCAGAACCACGGAGAUGGACUCCACGUUCGCGGUGAGCUAGGGACAGUGGGUAUCUGUGUGUGUCAGCUGCUGGGCUCCCCAGGACCCAGAACCGUCAAGGCCAAGACCUUGUGCCAGUGAGAUGUGCCUUCCCCUCAAAGCUUUUGAAGUUGUGAGCUCCUGGCACCAGAAACUGACACGGACCUCUUAGUUAAGCCACCAGCUUGCUAUGUGAACUGAGCAAGUCACUAAAGGAGCUGAAUUUUGGUCA